rnacentral:rRNA from 1 species
CUGGGUCCUAAGCAUCCGUAGCCGGCUCUGUAAGUUUUCGGUUAAAUCUGUAUGCUCAACAUACAGGCUGCCGGGAAUACUGCAGAGCUAGGGAGUGGGAGAGGUAGACGGUACUCGGUAGGAAGGGGUAAAAUCCUUUGAUCUAUUGAUGACCACCUGUGGCGAAGGCGGUCUACCAGAACACGUCCGACGGUGAGGGAUGAAAGCUGGGGGAGCAAACCGGAUUAGAUACCCGGGUAGUCCCAGCUGUAAACUAUGCAAACUCAGUGAUGCAUUGGCUUGUGGCCAAUGCAGUGCUGCAGGGAAGCCGUUAAGUUUGCCGUCGUGGGAAGU